rnacentral:rRNA from 1 species
ACGUCUACAGAAGAAGCACCGGCUAACUCCGUGCCAGCAGCCGCGGUAAUACGGAGGGUGCGAGCGUUAAUCGGAAUUACUGGGCGUAAAGCGCAUGCAGGCGGUUCGUUAAGUUACUAGAUGUGAAGACCGGGCGUCUAACCUCGGAAUAGCAUUUGAAACUGGCAGACUAGAGUACUGUAGAGGGGGGUAGGAAUUUCUAGGUGUAGCGGUGAAAUAGCGUAGAGAUCUGAAGGAAUACCGGUGGCGAAGGCGGCCCCCUCGGACAGAUACUGACACUCAGAUGCGAAAGCGUGGGGAGCAAACAGGAUUAGAUACCCUGGUAG